rnacentral:rRNA from 1 species
GACGAACGCUGGCGGCGUGCCUAAUACAUGCAAGUCGAACGCAGUGGGGACGGGUGCGUAACACGUGGGUAACCUCCCAUCAGAGGGGAUAACACUUGGCAACAGGUGCUUAACCGAUACUGAUGGAUGGACCCGCGGUGCAUUAGCCAGUUGGUGAGGUCACGUCUCACCAAGGCCACGAUGCAUAGCCGACCUGAGAGAAGGAGCAGCCACACUGGAACGGAGACACGGCCCAGACUCCUACGGGAGGCAGCAGUAGGGAAUCUUCGGCAAUGGACGAAAGUCUGACCGAGCAACGCCGCGGGAGUGAAGAAGGUUUUCGGAUCGUAAAGCACUGUUAGUAGGGAGGCGGUAUCUGCACAGGAAGCCACGGCUAACUACGUGCCAGCAGCCGCGGUAAUUC